UCUGGCGGAUUUGGCAACUCAUUUGUGUUUAUUAUUAUUUAUCUGCCAAAUUGAACAAGUCAGUAAUAAGAAUGCGAAAAAAAUGAACCUGUUCCGUAUUGUUUUCUCGCCACCUCUGUUCUGUCGUUAAUCGCGCACAAAAUUCGAAAAUUCGAAAAGGCUCAAAAUUGAGAAACACGCACACACCCAUCGACAUACUAUUUGUACGGGUACAUACAUAUGUAUCUAUCAUAUGCCAUAUAUUGAGGCAGUUCAACAUUUAAAAAGACAGCACAUUGAUAGCCGAAAUUCAAGCAAUCGAUCAUAAGAAACGCGCAUGCGUGCCGUCAUGUUGUUGUCUCAGCGGCAACAUGCACCACAACAGCCACAGCAGCAGCACCACCACCACCACCACCAACAACAACAGUCACACAUAGACACCUGAACAUUGUGUGAGUUGUGAAUAGAAUCGCACAGAACACAACAGCCCGCAUACUAUAACUUAUAACAACUAAAAACUCGAUUAAUUUGCAAGCAAAAAAAAAAAAAGCAAAAAGAAAAACAAUUAAGCCAGACUUAACAAUUAAUUUUAAAACAUUUCAACACUCCAGGCGGGCAUUAACUACAUGGAAUUAAAACUAGAACGUCCGAUUCUAGAACUGUGUGUAACCUGCACAAACGAUAAACACACAAACACACAAACAUACAAACAUACUUACACAUCGCACAUAAAACCAUACAACAAAAUAUAAUAACAAAAUCUGAAUAAAAAAAAAGAGGUGAUAGCAUAACGCAAAGGUGUUUCACAUUCAAGUGUCGGACCGGACUGCAACAAUAGGAACAGCAACAACAACAACAACAACAAGAACAACAUCAGCAUUAACAACAACAGCUAGAAAUACAAGUGUCGCCGUUUUUUCAUUGGGAAACCAUUCUGUGAUAUCUUAAGACCCAAAGAUGACAUCGUUAACCUUGCACUUGAUAGUGAUAGUGAUGAUGAUGCUGCUGCUCGGUGUGGGCCUGGGGCUGGACACGAAAGCCGCAACGACGCCGGCACGAACGGUAAC